GGGGUAUCAAAGGUUAACAUGUACCUAAUGCUUGGGGAUUCUACACAGAGAGCGUUUCUGCCAUCUGUUUGAUGUACGUUUUGGAGUGUUUUUCCAUGGAAAAAAGGAGUAUUUGGCAUUGGAGAGUUCAUUGAAUGGAAGCAAUAAUGUGGCACAUGGACAGGCUUAUGGAACACUGAUAAAAUCAUCUAAAACUUGGGCAAGUUCUUGCAUCAAAAUCCCUCCAAAAGUGCUCCAAACAGAUCGAAGUUUGCCUACCAAUAACAUGCAAAGGGUACAAACAAAACUUUCCAUUCUUAGCCUCACGCCUG
rnacentral:lncRNA from 1 species